rnacentral:rRNA from 1 species
CCCGGAAGGGGAGUGAAAAAGAUCCUGAAACCGUGUGCCUACAAGUAGUUAGAGCCCGUUAAUGGGUGAUAGCGUGCCUUUUGUAGAAUGAACCGGCGAGUUACGAUUACAUGCGAGGUUAAGUUGAUAAGACGGAGCCGCAGCGAAAGCGAGUCUGAAUAGGGCGAAUGAGUAUGUGGUCGUAGACCCGAAACCAGGUGAUCUACCCAUGUCCAGGGUGAAGUCCAGGUAACACUGGAUGGAGGCCCGAACCCACGCACGUUGAAAAGUGCGGGGAUGAGGUGUGGGUAGCGGAGAAAUUCCAAUCGAACUUGGAGAUAGCUGGUUCUCUCCGAAAUAGCUUUAGGGCUAGCCUCAUG